rnacentral:rRNA from 1 species
CUAAUUAUUUUUCUGCCUCUCUGGGCACCGGUGUGUGCGGUCACUGUGAGAGUAGAAGGAGGGAUAGAGAGAGAGUGUGUCUGUUUCAUGUUCGUCGCGGAGGCGGGAGGGGUGACGGAGGGCAGCGACCGCGUCCCUGGGAGGGGGAGGGAACGACGCGCGACGAAACCGUCCCUGGCGGGAAGGGGACGGAGGGUCAGGGGUGGCGACGACUCUGCGGCGGGAAGGGAACGUAGAGGUGGAGGUAGCUAUCUACCUCCGCGUCUGAAGCCGAGGUGGUCUAGGAACCAACGCCUGAGCUGCGCUCGCUACCUCCCGAGACGUCGCGGAUUGAGGAGGAGGACGCCCUUUUCUGCGCCUUAGCCUCGUUCGCGGCUCCUCGCGGCCGCUCCUGCGCGACGAGGCCACCUAACCCGCAUAGCGCUCGGAGUGGCACACCGGUUCAUGCUGCACGAGGUCUCACCUCACCAGCUGCGGGAGGGGUGGAGCGGGCACUGACCAUAAAGCAGUAGGCGGGAAACAAGCCAAGUCGAGACAGGCUGCGACGCACGCGGAACUGCGGUGGCGGGAUCGGUGUCGGGGUGUGGAGCGCGGUGCCGGCGGUGUUAGGGUACCGAACCGUAUUCACACUAGAUUAUUAAGUCUUUACAAAAAGACAUUAGUUAACGAGUACGUUAAGAUAUCCGACACCUUUGACGAGAAAAUGUGACCAUGUUAACGUCACAAUUCGACAUUGAAUAAACAUCAAAUAAGUGUUACUCAUGUAUUAUAGAGAUAUAUUACGGUGUGGUUAUUCCGUAUAAACUAAUCAGAACAAACCAGCUUGUAAGAGUGUACAUUACGACCUACGAGAUCGAUUAGACACAAGAGUAAAUAUUGUUCUACGUAACAACAUAUAGACUUGUCGUCCAAAUCAAGACUGUCUUUUUCGUUAUCCCGUCCAUGUUGUACUUCAAUCCAAGAUGAGGGAGGCAGGGUGUUACUUUCUGCAAAAAAGUUCGAUAUAGUCAAAUAUUUUUGCAGAAUGUAAAGCCCUGUCUCCCUCAUCACAAAUUAUAUGUCACGUCCAUGUAGAAGGAACGAAUCAGAUUAACACUAACAGUUCAUAAGGAACCAACGACUAAAAAAAAAACACUUUAGAAGAACACGUAUACACUUCCCUUCGUUCGAACCUAAGUGAUUUACUACACAUGUGUGGUUCACGCGGAGUGAAAGUAUUAUCGUUCGUUGGGGUAAGACUCCAAGAAGACUAGUACCGUGAGAAUUAUUAACUUCCCCUCUCAACCACAAGUACUUUGGUCUAACGAAACGAACGAUGUCUCAUACUCGGUGGUUCUAAACAAAGGGCACUCGACCGGAGGAUGCGGGUUGGCCACCGAACUACAGUUCAUUCCGUCUAGACGUCCGCCGGUACCGCGGGACGCGACUGCAGGCACCCCGUCGUCUCCACCUCGCCUGCCACCGCGGCCUCUAGGAACGACCGUAGGUACCCCGUCGUCUCCUCUCGCCGUUCGUCGCUGUCGCCGGACGCGAGCGCAGGAACCCCGACAUCUCCUCGCCUGUCGCCGCCGAAUCAGGUCACAAGCGCAGGUAACCCGUCGUCUUCUCCUCUCUUGGCGCCCUUGCACCUAAUCACGAGCGCAGGUACCCCGUUGUCGGUCGUCUCCUCCCCGCCACCCGCCCACCGCCCCUAGGCGCAACCGUAGGCACGCCGUCGCUUCCUCCUGUCUGUUUAACACUAACACUCCCGUCUCUUUUAAUGCCCUAACUUUAGGGGAUAGGGGCGAUUAACUCCUGCUUCCCCACGCCACCCGUCAGACGAGGCCGUCUUGUAAAGUAGACCUAGCAAGUAAACACACCGUCUGGGAACUACAUUAUACCUGGCGAUCUACACUAAAUUAACCUAACUAGCUUGCGGAGAUCAUUAGGACACAUGUGAAACACCACACAGACAUCCUCUUUAGUACAAACGAGAAAAUUAUCAUCAUAUCUAAUUAUCAUCAUAUCUAUAUCUAUAUCUAUACGUGGACCCAAAGCUCUAUCGUAGUCAGUCUGUUUUGAGAUACUACGGUUCGACGUCUCACCACCAAAACUUUCCCUUUUUAUUACUACAUAAAACACGAUGGACUAUUACGGCCACGUUUCUUCUCUCGCUAGUAUAGACUCUUUAUAAAGUAGAAGGUCUUUAUACGAUACAUGAGAAGCCCCGGUACGGCAUUGGGAGGCUGCGUCAUGUAGAGGGACCCGGGAUCGACGCGAGUGCCUGCGGACUAGCGUCGGAUAGGAACCGGCGGGCGGUGUCGCGACGCCGGUGGGUAGUACGGGACGGAACGAGAGCACGUCUUAAUAGAGAAGGGUUAAGGUGAGGUGGGGAGGCGAGGUAUGAGGUGUGGAUGUGGGUCUAGAUCGUGUGGUACCGUCGUUACGGCGGCAGCGAGGGCCUGCUAGAACAGGUUCUCUAGGAGGAGGCGAAGGGCUGGCUGCUGGGGUGGAUGGAGGAGGCUAGGAGGGAGCAAACGUUCCGGAUCUCGCCGCAAUAAAGGACGGCGCUGAAAGCGGCGGCGGAGGUCCUCGAGGUGGCCCGUGGGGGGGAACGAGCCGAAGGAGGUGCAGUUCUGGUCGCUCUCGUGGGGGACGAAGUAGGGGUGGUGACGUAGCAGGAAUAGCGAGCGACGGCGUUUGAUGAUGAGCACCGACCGGGAGCUGACGGCGGUGCCAGCGCGGGAGAAGGAGAGGUCUAGAGUCCUAGUACUCCUUGAGGAGCACACCCUCGGUUAGUACCCAUGGGUUCUCGCGCAUGGCCACGGACAUCGUAAACUCAAGUCGAUGAGCCGACGCCGGCACAAUACGUGUCACCUACUCACACUGGUAGCGCUAACGGAACCCCCAGGAAAGACGCACGAAAAGCAGAAGAGGAGGUUCCUUCUACGGCUGCUCUCACAGUGCAGCCGUACGUAUAUGAGCAGUCUCUGACCACGGACCCCGCCCGACUGGUGCUACGUGCCGCUGAUGAAGUAGCAGAUACUGAUAGUCCUGUCACUCUACUAGGACCUCAUACUGAACAGUUCCGUGAAGGAUUAAUACAAAUCACAUGGUCUGUUGGUAACACUGACGUAUAUGUGAGAGUACCACUGCCUCCCGCCACCCGACCCUCAUUAGGUUCUGAACGUAGCCGUACAGUUCAACACCUGUUCUCUCCACUCACUACCGCGACUACGUGUUACCAACGAGUCGGCCCAGUAGAUGGACGUGUUAAACGAGGGUCGGUCACGAGUUCCAAUAUCUCACGCCCACUACCCGAAACGACUCCCUCGUUUACGGUAAAAACAAUCAUGCCAACAGCCGGACAAACGUUAACUAGAUGUUAGACUCGUCCGUUCCUUCCACAGACUAGUAACACCGAAAACAAAGGUAUUUAACCAAGGUCAACAGUGGAAGAUGUGAGGACGCGGGGCUCCGCUGGUGGUUUUAAACGACCACAGCUUCGGAUCACUCCUCCGUCCACCACUCCUCCACCCUCUCCCCCUCUUUUGUUAUGUAUUCCGUAUU